GUAAUUCCGGUGAAGAUGCCGGAUACCUGCGACAGGACGGAAAGACCCCAUGGAGCUUUACUGUAGCUUGACAUUGGGUCUUGGUACUACAUGUACAGGAUAGGUGGGAGGCUUUGAAACCAGGACGCCAGUUUUGGCGGAGCCAUCCUUGGGAUACCUCCCUUGUAGUACUGGGACUCUAACCAUAGGCCAUGAAUCUGGUCUUGGGACACUGUCAGGUGGGCAGUUUGACUGGGGCGGUCGCCUCCCAAAAGGUAACGGAGGCGCUCAAAGGUUCUCUCAGUACGG
rnacentral:rRNA from 1 species